AGGGGGCUCCCAAUGGCUUUUCCUGAACAGCUGGGCUGCUGAUGGAUUUAUCCAAGUCGGGAUGUUUCUUUCUCCUUGUGCUGUAAACAGUGAAAGAGCUCUUCUCAUCCAUGGAGUUCAAAGUACAUUACGAAGGAAUAAAAAAAUGGGAUAUGGCAUGCACAUGAAUCAGAGGAAUCAUUAUAUCACUGGACUUCCAUUCUGGAGACCGAGAGAACACGCUAAAAAGAAGAGGUUGUCUUUGAAAAUGCAAAGCCUUCAGAUCUUUUUUGAUACUGCAGAAAGGCAGCAGAACUCAUAGCUGUUUAUCUGUCAGGAGGCUGGAGAACACCAUACAGAUUCAAGAGAAAAGCUGCCAUACAUGCUGGGAGGGAGGAGAAGAUGCUCAGAAAAAGAAGCCUGUAAACUUGGGGUCCUGUUCUCACUUCUGUCAUUAGCACCAGCCAGUGUGUACAGUAAAAAACUAUGGAACAGAAAUUUCAUUGCCCUCUUUCAAGGCAUGGGACAACACACUUGAGAGCAGAGUCACAGAAAUAGGAUUGGAGCUCAGAAGUGCCUGUAGUUUGUCCUCCUGCCCAGAACACAGGCAUCAAGCAUUUACCUCAGGCCUGUUACCAUUUGAGACUUUAGGUUGGAAACUGUACUGUUUAUCCAAAUGCUUCAUUCUCUAAACUUUAUGAAAUGUUUUUGUCAAGUCUAACUCAAAUUAUCAUUGCUGUAACAUAGCUAAAUCUGAGGACUUCCAUGUCUAGGAAGAGAAUCUGGUAUUCCCAAGUGUUACUUCUAUUCCCAAGUGUUACUUCCUCCACCAUGCUGCUUGUCAGUGCAGAUCCAUCAGUGCUGUGUCUUGGGCCAUCCUAACUGCUGCUGUCACUUUCCUGGGUCUGGCUGGAAGAACACAGACUGUCUGCCUCAGCAAAGAGUCUUUCAAAAGAGUCUUAAUCAUUAAAUAAAUGGAUUAAUUAACAGCCUGGGAGCUGAAGU
rnacentral:lncRNA from 1 species